UUGUGUCAUAUGAUGAUACUUUCUGUUAUGGGCCCAAAAGCUCUCUGGGAAGACUCUUGGUUAAAGAUCACAGAGCCUAAAUAGACCCUGCUGGGAAUGAGAGAGGAGAGCAGAAAAAGCUACUCUCUCACUGGGUAACAGCAGGGUCCUGAGGCCAAGAUAUGAGAGGUGUUAUGGCAAAUUUGAUGGCAGUACAGUAGAGAUCUCAAAUAAAUCAAGCUGAGCAGCCUGGCAGUGUAUGCAGGAAAUCAAUUGGAGGAAGAAAAGAUUAAAAAAACUAUUACACUGAGCUGCAGCUGAGUCCUUUCCUUCAAGAAGAAGGAAUCCAAACAUGUCAUCUGAUUUAAAUCAAUUAAGAAGACAAAGACAAAGCGGCAUGGCCCAAGUUAAUACGUCCAGCAAUGAAGUGUGCCCAUUUAUGCAUAAUAAAUGAAUUUUUGUUGUCUUAGCAACAGCUUGGAGAUGUGUUAUCCAUCAGGAGAACAGUCUGUUUGGAUGUUGUCAGGGUGACAAGCCGGCUACCUGUCCAUGUUACUGCAGGUCUGCUCCAGCACUGCAGCCCUGU